GUCGAGCGAGAAAGGGCUUCGGCCCUGAGUACAGCGGCGCACGGGUGAGUAACACGUGGGUAAUCUGCCCUAGAGUGGGGAAUAACACCGGGAAACCGGUGCUAAUACCGCAUACGAUCACGAUGUCUUCGGAUGUUGUGAUGAAAGGAGCAAUUCGCUCUUGGAGGAGCCCGCGGCUGAUUAGCUAGUUGGUAAGGUAAUGGCUUACCAAGGCAACGAUCAGUAGCCGGUCUGAGAGGACGGUCGGCCACACUGGAACUGAGACACGGUCCAGACUCCUACGGGAGGCAGCAGUGGGGAAUUUUUCGCAAUGGGGGCAACCCUGACGAAGCAACGCCGCGUGGAUGAUGAAGUCUCUUGGGACGUAAAAUCCUUUCGACGGGGAAGAAACCGCAAGGUUGACGGUACCCGUAGAAGAAGCCCCGGCUAACUCCGUGCCAGCAGCCGCGGUAAUACGGGGGGGGCAAGCGUUGUUCGGGAUUACUGGGCGUAAAGGGCGCGUAGGCGGUUCGCUAAGUUGAAUGUGAAAACUCUGGGCUUAACCCAGAGCCUGCAUUCAAUACUGGCGGGCUAGAGUUCUGGAGGGGAUAGCGGAAUUCCUGGUGUAGCGGUGAAAUGCGUAGAUAUCAGGAGGAACACCGGUGGCGAAGGCGGCUAUCUGGACAGAGUCUGACGCU
rnacentral:rRNA from 1 species